rnacentral:tRNA from 1 species
GCAGACGUAAUCAAGUGGUUACGAUGCCAGAUUGGAAAUCUGGUGCGGUCUCCGCGCGUGGGUUCGAAUCCCCCCGUCUGCGCCA